UACGUAGGUGGCAAGCGUUGUCCGGAUUUACUGGGCGUAAAGAGCGCGCAGGCGGUCGUUCAAGUCGGGUGUGAAAGCCCCCGGCUCAACUGGGGAGGGUCACGCGAUACUGAUCGACUCGAAGGCAGGAGAGGGUAGUGGAAUUCCCGGUGUAGUGGUGAAAUGCGUAGAUAUCGGGAGGAACACCAGUGGCGAAGGCGACUACCUGGCCUGUUCUUGACGCUGAGGAGCGAAAGCGUGGGGAGCGAACAGG
rnacentral:rRNA from 1 species